rnacentral:rRNA from 1 species
UAGGGAAUAUUGGUAAUGGGCGAAAGCCUGAACCAGCAACGCCGCGUGUGCGAUGAAGGCCUUCGGGUUGUAAAGCACUUUUGACCGGGACGAGGAAGGACGGUACCGGUGGAAUAAGCCUCGGCUAACUACGUGCCAGCAGCCGCGGUGAAACGUAGGAGGCGAGCGUUAUCCGGAUUUACUGGGUGUAAAGCGCGUGCAGGCGGUAAGCUAAGUUGGGUGUGAAAGCUCCUGGCUCAACUGGGAGAGGUCGCUCAAGACUGGCGAGCGGGAGGAUGGGAGGGGAAGGGGG